AUGGAGUUCUCACUCGUAGACCUCCCACCCAAAGCUAAAACAGGUUCUUCUUAUGUGCAUGUAGCCAUUGUGGGGGCAGGGGAGGGCAUCAUUGGGAUGUUUGUGCUACCACAUAAGACAUCUGACCUCAGUUAUUUUGUUAAGAGCAACAACGGUGGAAGUUCAAGCCACUGGCAAUUGCAGAAGACAGUCUCACUGGAUUCUUCUCACUACUCUUUAGAUGUGGGUUCAACAGGGAGGCAGUUGUUCCUAUACCAUCGCGGAAGCCCAUCGCUUGAUGCCCGCCUUUUCUCAAUGGACGUCAAGACAUUCCAGCUUGAGAAGGUGUUCGGCUCCAAAUUUGGCAUUCUUUACCCACGGGCAUAUAACAACUUUCCACCAUUCUUGUCGACUCCAAUAGUAUCAAGUGGUGCUCAGGAACAAGGUGUGGGGACGCCUCAAGUUGAAGAAGAGCCCAUAGAUAGCCCUCAGUAA
rnacentral:rRNA from 1 species